rnacentral:misc_RNA from 1 species
CAUCGUUAUAGUAUUUUGUGGACCAACAAAAACAUCAUAUUUUAUAUAGAUGAUGUUCCAAUUAGAGAAAUUGUAAGAAAUGAUGCAAUGGGUGGAGACUACCCAUCAAAGCCAAUGGGCCUAUAUGCAACAAUUUGGGAUGCUUCAGAUUGGGCUACUUCAGGUGGAAAAUACAAAACAAAUUACAAAUAUGCACCAUUUAUAGCUGAAUUUACUGAUUUAGUACUCAAUGGAUGUGCAAUGGACCCAUUGGAACAAGUUGUAAACCCUAGUCUUUGUGAUGAAAAAGAUGUUGAACUCCAAAAGUCGGAUUUUUCAAGGAUUACAUCGAGACAAAGAAUGUCCAUGAAAAGAUUUAGGGCGAAAUAUAUGUACUAUUCUUACUGUUACGAUUCAUUGAGAUACUCAGUGCCACCACCAGAGUGCGAGAUUGAUCCAGUUGAGCAACAACAUUUUAAAGAGACUGGAAGGUUGAAGUUUAUAAACAAGCACCACGGACAUCGUCAUCCUAAGAAAACAAAAAGUGAAGUUCUUGAUGCUAGGAAGUAUGGAAAUGAAGAUGAAGAGUGAUUCAAAGUUUUGUUUACUAAUAGUAAUAUUGUUGGUGUGUAUAUAGAUAAAAGGAGGGAAAG